ensembl:lncRNA
GGGGGGGGUUUGGGCGAGGGGAGGCGAGUGGCUUAGUGCAUCACACAUGUCUGCAUAAUGAAGUCAAGUUUCUGAAUAUCUGAAACAGAAGAGGAAAACUCCAGUGUUUCUUUGGAAGGAGCAGCAGGAUUGACCUUGGCCCCCCACUGCUCCAUCCUAAUAGAGAUAUGGUACCACUGACCAACAUUCGACUCAGAGUCUUUGAAAUACACAAACUUAAUACGACUACUUCUAUACAUAUUUAACUGCUAUUUUACACUGUUAUUAUCCUAACCUACUUAAACGUUACAAUGAGAGGUGGCAUUCUCUGUAUUUUCAUGGGUUUGGAGCUUUGUUUAUAUUAUGAGCAUGACUUAAAAGUCAGAUGAUAUUACCUGGCCAUCCAUCCAGCAGCAGACGCGAAGAGCUGGGGGCGAUUUGUUUUCCCAUGGGUGACUGUUUCUGCCAGUGCAGCAUAUUGUCACAGCAGGGCAUAUUGUCUGUGUCCAGCACUCUUGUCCUAGCACUGUGAAAGUCAGGCGUUCAGUGAAGCUAACAGAUCUCGAUGCGCACACACACAGGCACACACACAGGCACACACACAGGCACACACACAGGCACACACACAGGCACACACACAGGCACACACACACACAGGCACACACACACAGGCACACACACACAGGCACACACACACAGGCACACACACACAGGCACACACACACAGGCACACACACACAGGCACACACACAGGCACACACACAGGCACACAGAUUGCAGUUGCAUUCCCUGGCAUCGUUUACCACGAGGAGGAUUGUUCAUAGAGCUCGUUUCCAGUUUGUAUUCUCUCUAAAUGUGAGCCACACUGGGCCACUAUGAGACAAUAUAAACACACACACACAGACACUGAGAUACAGGUGUGAUCUUCAGACCAGUGAAAGAGUCACUGUGGAAGGCUUUUAAGCGGAAAUCCCUGCGUUUACAUUUUUUGUAGCUUCCAGGAGAGAAGGAGGGACCUUCAGAGUGUGAUGGAAAUGAUUAGAUAGAACUAGCAUUAGAAGAGAGAGAGUGAGCGUAUGUAUGUACGUAUGUAUAUGUGUGUGUGUGUGUGUGUAGUCACAUCAGGGGUGGCUAUGGCGAUUAAAAACAAAUACUUGAUGUCAGCAUGUAAACUGGUGAUGCUUGUCUUUGUAAGACAUUGUUACCUCCCUCAAUAAACACUCUCUUACCAAGGAAGGAAUUUCACAACUUAACAAUUUUCACAAUUUCCAGAGGGGGACCAUAUACUAGACUGGCUCCUGUAUGCUGGUUUGCUUUUCACCCUUCACACAAUGAUGGUGCUCUACAGGGUGCGUGUUUCAUUUCAAACAAAGGGCCGGAACACUUUACUCUGUUACAGGUUGACGUCUCUCUUACUCAUUUGGGAAUUAUUAUUUGCUGGUUUCUGGUCACUAUGACGUUUCUCUCUUAGACCUUGAGCUCUGUUAUGGCUGCAGCAAUUUAACUUUCUUUAUUCUGGAAAAGUUUGAGCUCAUAUAUAUAUAUAUAUAUAUAUAUUUCUUUUUUGUAUAAAAAUCUGAACAUAUUUUUACUCAUUAAAUACUAGUUCUGUGUGUGGCUUCUUAUCCUGGUUUCUCAUUUAUCGGAAAUGUCCUAUAUAAACUGUACAUUAUGGAACACUGUAACAAUACUCCCAAACGAAACAUUUUAGGGUGUUUUGUCUUUAUAUGUAUAACAAUAUCACUACACAUGGUGAGGCUCGUGUGUGUGGGUGUCUGAGAGAGAGUAAUACUGUGUGAGACAGAAAUACCACACACACACACUCAUCUAUAAAUACUCUGAAUAGCUCCAUCUGUGGCCUUUCAGAUCAGACUGGAGCUCCUUUUGUGAAGGAGCGACUGUAGGCCCUGUCAGGGGCUGUGCUGUGCUGUCCUGUCCUGUCCUGUCCUGAGGACAUUCAAUUCAAUUCAAUUUGAUUUAUAUAACAAUACAAUUGUCUCUAGGCGCUUUACAGAGCCCAGAGCCUGAACCCCCUUAGUGCAAGCACAUUGGCAACACGGGCAAGAAAAAACUCCCUGUUGGUCAGGAAGGAACCUUAAGCAGAACCACGGCACAUAAGGGGGAACCCAUCUGCUUGAGGUCGGCCGGGUGGAGACAUGCAUCUGUACACAUUGCCUGCCCAGCUCUUUCUUUCUGUCUCUCUCUCUCUGUCGGUCGGGUCUGUCUGUCUCUCUCUCUCCCCCCGGGGAAGAUGGGACACCACUGCUGCAGGGAGGCCUCUCCGCACAGACCUCCUCCCAGUGCAGCUGAGGCCACGGCACGGCUGAGUUAUAACAGUUUGGCACACUUAUGUUAUUGCUUUUCUCUCUGUCUCUCUCGUAGUUUGGCCUAGCUACAAUAUCACACACACUCUCUAAAACAUGACACACAUACACUUUCAGACUUUCUCUCAGUGUGGCUGUGCUAUAAUCUCUAUCUCUUUCUCAAACACUCUCGCUCUCUCUAGGAGGAACAAAAAUAGCUGAUGGCUUCUUUGCCGUGUAGAAUCGUGGAGAAUUGCGGAAUAAUUGCAUUUGGGCC